rnacentral:rRNA from 1 species
AUUGAACGCUGGCGGCAUGCCUUACACAUGCAAGUCGAACGGCAGCGGGGGAGAAGCUUGCUUUUCCUGCCGGCGAGUGGCGAACGGGUGAGUAAUACAUCGGAACGUGCCCUGUAGUGGGGGAUAACUAGUCGAAAGAUUAGCUAAUACCGCAUACGACCUGAGGGUGAAAGUGGGGGACCGCAAGGCCUCAUGCUAUAGGAGCGGCCGAUGUCUGAUUAGCUAGUUGGUGGGGUAAAGGCCUACCAAGGCGACGAUCAGUAGCUGGUCUGAGAGGACGAUCAGCCACACUGGGACGGAGACACGGCCCAGACUCCUACGGGAGGCAGCAGUGGGGAAUUUUGGACAAUGGGCGAAAGCCUGAUCCAGCAAUGCCGCGUGUGUGAAGAAGGCCUUCGGGUUGUAAAGCACUUUUGUCCGGAAAGAAAUGGCUCUGGUUAAUACCUGGGGUCGAUGACGGUACCGGAAGAAUAAGGACCGGCUAACUACGUGCCAGCAGCCGCCGCUG